rnacentral:rRNA from 1 species
UGGGGAAUAUUGCACAAUGGGCGAAAGCCUGAUGCAGCAACGCCGCGUGAGGGAAGACGGUUUUCGGAUUGUAAACCUCUGUUUUCGGUGACGAACAAAUGACGGUAACCGAGUAGGAAGCCACGGCUAACUACGUGCCAGCAGCCGCGGUAAUACGUAGGGAGCAAGCGUUGUCCGGAUUUACUGGGUGUAAAGGGUGCGUAGGCGACAAAGCAAGUCAGAUGUGAAAUGUAUGGGCUCAACCCAUGAACUGCAUUUGAAACUGCAUUGCUUGAGUGAAGUAGAGGCAGGCGGAAUUCCCUGUGUAGCGGUGAAAUGCGUAGAGAUAGGGAGGAA